AGUGAACGCUGGCGGCAUGCCUAACACAUGCAAGUCGAACGGCAGCACGGCAGUAGCAAUACUGUGGGUGGCGAGUGGCGGACGGGUGAGGAAUACGUCGGAAUCUGCCCAGUCGUGGGGGAUAACUAGCCGAAAGGUUAGCUAAUACCGCAUACGACCGAGAGGUGAAAUCGGGGGACCGCAAGGCCUCGCGCGAUUGGGUGAGCCGACGUCGGAUUAGCUAGUUGGUGGGGUAAAGGCCCACCAAGGCGACGAUCCGUAGCUGGUCUGAGAGGAUGAUCAGCCACACUGGAACUGAGACACGGUCCAGACUCCUACGGGAGGCAGCAGUGGGGAAUAUUGGACAAUGGGCGCAAGCCUGAUCCAGCAAUGCCGCGUGUGUGAAGAAGGCCUCGGUUGUAAG
rnacentral:rRNA from 1 species